UACGAAGGGGACUAGCGUUGUUCGGAAUCACUGGGCGUAAAGCGCACGUAGGCGGAUGUGUCAGUCAGGGGUGAAAUCCCGGGGCUCAACCUCGGAACUGCCUUUGAUACAGCACGUCUCGAGUCCGGAAGAGGUGGGUGGAAUUCCUAGUGUAGAGGUGAAAUUCGUAGAUAUUAGGAAGAACACCGGUGGCGAAGGCGGCCCACUGGUCCGGUACUGACGCUGAGGUGCGAAAGCGUGGGGAGCGAACAGGAUUGA
rnacentral:rRNA from 1 species